UCAGGGGAGCCGGGGGAGGCCCGGCUGAGAGGAGGGCCCGUAUCACGCCCUCGACCCUUACGACCUGAUCCGGGUAAUGCCGGCGGAGGGAGAAGG
rnacentral:ncRNA from 1 species